AGUGAACGCUGGCGGUAGGCCUAACACAUGCAAGUCGAACGGCAGCACAGUAAGAGCUUGCUCUUACGGGUGGCGAGUGGCGGACGGGUGAGGAAUACAUCGGAAUCUACUUUUUCGUGGGGGAUAACGUAGGGAAACUUACGCUAAUACCGCAUACGACCUACGGGUGAAAGCAGGGGAUCUUCGGACCUUGCGCGAUUGAAUGAGCCGAUGUCGGAUUAGCUAGUUGGCGGGGUAAAGGCCCACCAAGGCGACGAUCCGUAGCUGGUCUGAGAGGAUGAUCAGCAACACUGGAACUGAGACACGGUCCAGACUCCUACGGGAGGCAGCAGUGGGGAAUAUUGGACAAUGGGCGCAAGCCUGAUCCAGCCAUACCGCGUGGGUGAAGAAGGCCUUCGGGUUGUAAAGCCCUUUUGUUGGGAAAGAAAAGCAGCAGGUUAAUACCCCGCUGUUCUGACGGUACCCACAGAAUAAGCACCGGCUAACUUCGUG
rnacentral:rRNA from 1 species